rnacentral:tRNA from 1 species
GCCAGUGUGGCUCAGUGGAGAGAGCGUCAGGCUGCAGACCAAAAGGUCUCGGGUCUGAUUCCAGUCAAGGGCA